rnacentral:rRNA from 1 species
GACGAACGCUGGCGGCAUGCCUAAUACAUGCAAGUCGAGCGAACAGAUGAAGUGCUUGCACUUCCGACGUUAGCGGCGAACGGGUGAGUAACACGUAAGGAAUCUACCUAUAAGCGGGGGAUAACAUUCGGAAACGGGUGCUAAUACCGCAUAAUAUCUUCUUCCGCAUGGAAGAAGAUUGAAAGACGGCUCUGCUGUCACUUAUAGAUGACCUUGCGGUGCAUUAGUUAGUUGGUGGGGUAAUGGCCUACCAAGACGAUGAUGCAUAGCCGACCUGAGAGGGUGAUCGGCCACAGUGGGACUGAGACACGGCCCAAACUCCUAGGGGAGGCAGCAGUAGGGAAUCUUCCGCAAUGGGCGAAAGCCUGACGGAGCAAUGCCGCGUGAGUGAAGAAGGCCUUCGGGUCGUAAAACUCUGUUAUAAGAGAAGAACAAAUUGUAGAGUAACUGCUACAGUCUUGACGGUAUCUUAUCAGAAAGCCACGGCUAACUACGUGCCAGCCGCCGCCGUAA